rnacentral:misc_RNA from 1 species
CGCACCUUGCGCCCCUUGGCAUUCCGAGGGGCACGCCUGUUUGAGUGUCGUGAACUCCUCCACCCUCUACCUUUUUCGGAAGGCACUGGGCUGGGAUUUGGGAGCUUGCGGGUCCCUGGCCGAUCCGCUCUCCUUGAAUACAUUAGCGAAGCCCUUGCGGCCUUGGUGUGAUAGUCAUCUACGCCUUGGCUUAGCGAACAUAUGGGAAUCGCUUCCAACCGUCUCGCAAGAGACAAUCACUACCAACUUGACCUCAAAUCAGGCGGGACUACCCGCUGAACUUAA